rnacentral:rRNA from 1 species
AUGCCCAUCUGCAUUUGUUUUUGUCGCUGCUGCCCAUUUUCAUUUUGCAGGGUCGAACCAUGCGUGGAUGGCGAGACGGAGCAGCCAGCCAAUGUCGUAUCCAAGGUCCUCGGCGACGAUAACCUUCUCAGGGAGAUAAUCGUCCGCGUCGGCUUCCCCACCACCCUUGUCCAUGCCGCCCUCGCGUGCAAGCGCUGGCUCGGGCAUGCCGCCUACCCCGCCUUCCUCUGCCGUUCCCACAAGCUCCACCCACCCUGCCUCCUAGGCUACUACAUCUCCGAGCGGUCGGCUGCGCCGAAGCAGCUGAAUGUGUGUCUCCGGCAGAUCUGUCCUUGGUUGAUUUGCUCGUAUCUGUUCAUCAUUCGUCUAUACUCGUAUGCUUUCAGGUUUGAUCCUUCUGAUCUAUGA